AACGAACGCUGGCGGCAGGCUUUACACAUGCAAGUCGAACGGGCCCUUCGGGGUCAGUGGCAGACGGGUGAGUAACGCGUGGGAACGUGCCCUUCAGUUUGGGAUAACCCAGGGAAACUUGGGCUAAUACCGGAUACGUGCGAGAGCAGAAAGAUUUAUCGCUGAAGGAUCGGCCCGCGUCUGAUUAGCUGGUUGUAGGGUAAUGGCCUACCAAGGCGACGAUCAGUAGCUGGUCUGAGAGGAUGAUCAGCCACAUUGGGACUGAGACACGGCCCAAACUCCUACGGGAGGCAGCAGUGGGGAAUAUUGGACAAUGGGCGCAAGCCUGAUCCAGCCAUGCCGCGUGAGUGAUGAAGGCCUUAGGGUUGUAAAGCUCUUUCAGUGGGGACGAUAAUGACGGUACCCGCAGAAGAAGCCCCGGCUAAUUUCUUUCCAGCAGCCGCCGUAA
rnacentral:rRNA from 1 species